AGCGAACGCUGGCGGCAGGCCUAACACAUGCAAGUCGAACGAACCUUUCGGGGUUAGUGGCGGACGGGUGAGUAACACGUGGGAACGUGCCUUUAGGUUCGGAAUAACUCAGGGAAACUUGUGCUAAUACCGAAUGUGCCCUUCGGGGGAAAGAUUUAUCGCCUUUAGAGCGGCCCGCGUCUGAUUAGCUAGUUGGUUGAGGUAAUGGCUCACCAAGGCGACGAUCAGUAGCUGGUCUGAGAGGAUGAUCAGCCACAUUGGGACUGAGACACGGCCCAAAAUCCUACGGGAAGCAGCAGUGGGGAAUCUUGCGCAAUGGGCGAAAGCCUGACGCAGCCAUGCCGCGUGAAUGAUGAAGGUCUUAGGAUUGUAAAAUUCUUUCACCGGGGACGAUAAUGACGGUACCCGGAGAAGAAGCCCCGGCUAACUUCGUG
rnacentral:rRNA from 1 species